rnacentral:rRNA from 1 species
GACGAACGCUGGCGGCGGGCUUAACACAUGCAAGUCGAACGGAAUCCAUGGAGCUUGCUCCGGAAGAUUUAGUGGCGAACGGGUGAGGAACACGUGAGAAACCUGCCCCGAACUUUGGGAUAACAGUUGGAAACGACUGCUAAUACCAAAUACCUCCGCGAUGUGGCAUCACAUUGCGAAGAAAGAAUUUCGGUUCGGGAGGGUCUCGCGGCCUAUCAGCUAGUUGGUGGGGUAAUGGCCUACCAAGGCAUCGACGGGUAGCUGGUCUGAGAGGAUGAUCAGCCACACUGGGACUGAGACACGGCCCAGACUCCUACGGGAGGCAGCAGUGGGGAAUCUUGUGCAAUGGGGGCAACCCUGACACAGCCACGCCGCGUGCGGGAAGAAGGCCUUCGGGUCGUAAACCGCUUUCAGCAGGAACGAAAAUGUCGGUACCUGCAGAAGAAGGAGCGGCCAACUACGUGCCAGCCGCCGCGGUAA